UACGUAGGGUGCGAGCGUUGUCCGGAAUUACUGGGCGUAAAGAGCUCGUAGGUGGUUUGUCGCGUUGUUCGUGAAAACUCACAGCUCAACUGUGGGCGUGCGGGCGAUACGGGCAGACUGGAGUACUGCAGGGGAGACUGGAAUUCCUGGUGUAGCGGUGGAAUGCGCAGAUAUCAGGAGGAACACCGGUGGCGAAGGCGGGUCUCUGGGCCUUACCUGACGCUCAGGCGCGAAAGCUAGGGGAGCGAACAGG
rnacentral:rRNA from 1 species